rfam:Stegodyphus mimosarum contig120931, whole genome shotgun sequence.
GCCUUCGUGGUGUAGUGGUCUGCGUGCUUGACGCUUAACCGAGAGGUCCGUGGUUCGAUUCCCGGCGAAGGCG